rnacentral:rRNA from 1 species
UACGAAGGGGGCUAGCGUUGCUCGGAAUCACUGGCGUAAGCGCACGUAGGCGGACUCUUAAGUCGGUGGUGAAAUCCUGGAGCUCAACUCCAGAACUGCCUUCGAUACUGAGAGUCUCGAGUCCGGGAGAGGUGAGUGGAACUGCGAGUGUAGAGGUGAAAUUCGUAGAUAUUCGCAAGAACACCAGUGGCGAAGGCGGCUCACUGGCCCGGUACUGACGCUGAGGUGCGAAAGCGUGGGAGCAACAGG